rnacentral:rRNA from 1 species
GACGAACGCUGGCGGCGUGCUUAACACAUGCAAGUCGAACGAUGAAGCUAGAGCUUGCUCUGGUGGAUUAGUGGCGAACGGGUGAGUAACACGUGAGUAACCUGCCCCGAACUCUGGGAUAACUGCUGGAAACGGUAGCUAAUACCAGAUAUGACCAAUGAAGGCAUCUUCUGUUGGUGGAAAGAAUUUCGGUUCGGGAUGGACUCGCGGCCUAUCAGCUUGUUGGUGAGGUAACGGCUCACCAAGGCGACGACGGGUAGCCGGCCUGAGAGGGUGAUCGGCCACACUGGGACUGAGACACGGCCCAGACUCCUACGGGAGGCAGCAGUGGGGAAUAUUGCACAAUGGGCGCAAGCCUGAUGCAGCAACGCCGCGUGAGGGACGACGGCCUUCGGGUUGUAAACCUCUUUUGGUAGGGACGAAGCGAAAGUGACGGUACCUAAGAAGAAGCACCGGCUAACUACGUGCCAGCCGCCGCAGUAA